rnacentral:rRNA from 1 species
GAUGAACGCUGGCGGCGUGCCUAACACAUGCAAGUCGAACGAAGCAAUUAAGAUGAAGUUUUCGGAUGGAAUCUUGAUUGACUGAGUGGCGGACGGGUGAGUAACGCGUGGAUAACCUGCCUCACACUGGGGGAUAACAGUUAGAAAUGACUGCUAAUACCGCAUAAGCGCACAGGACCGCAUGGUCCGGUGUGAAAAACUCCGGUGGUAUGAGAUGGACCCGCGUCUGAUUAGCUAGUUGGUAAGGUAACGGCUUACCAAGGCGACGAUCAGUAGCCGACCUGAGAGGGUGACCGGCCACAUUGGGACUGAGACACGGCCCAA